rnacentral:rRNA from 2 species
UACGAAGGGGGCUAGCGUUGUUCGGAAUCACUGGGCGUAAAGCGCACGUAGGCGGACUGUUAAGUCAGGGGUGAAAUCCUGGGGCUCAACCCCAGAACUGCCCUUGAUACUGGCGGUCUUGAGUGUGGAAGAGGUUGGUGGAACUCCGAGUGUAGAGGUGAAAUUCGUAGAUAUUCGGAAGAACACCAGUGGCGAAGGCGGCCAACUGGUCCACUACUGACGCUGAGGUGCGAAAGCGUGGGGAGCAAACAGG